rnacentral:rRNA from 1 species
CAGUCGCCACGGUAAAACGUAGGUGGCAAGCGUUGUCCGGAGUUAUUGGGCGUAAAGCGCGCGCAGGCGGAUAGGUCAGUCUGUCUUAAAAGUUCGGGGCUUAACCCCGUGAUGGGAUGGAAACUGCCAAUCUAGAGUAUCGGAGAGGAAAGUGGAAUUCCUAGUGUAGCGGUGAAAUGCGUAGAUAUUAGGAAGAACACCAGUGGCGAAGGCGACUUUCUGGACGAAAACUGACGCUGAGGCGCGAAAGCCAGGGGAGCGAACGGGAUUAGAUACCCGUGUAGUCCCUGUCUCUUAUACA